CUUACUUUUGUUUAGCAACCUUAUUAGAUGACGUAGUGACGUAGUCUAGUAGCCAACCAAUAGAAUUUCAUAGUACGAGCGACUAACUGUGCGACAAUCAUCAAGUAGGUCAUUGGGUCAUGGUCAGUCACCUCUCUUUUGUGUACGUCGUCGAAUACGUCGGCGACGGACAACUUGCUUGUUUUUGUCUGUGAGUGAGAGCGCCGCAUUAGAUUGGGCUUUGACAGUAGUCGCAAGUGCGCCGGUGGGAACUCUUUCUAUACUGCGAACUUCACUACCAAAAAGACGCUCGAACCAGAGAGAGAAAAAUCAAACCAAAAUCUUCAGACUGCCAUUCAGUUUUUAAUUUUUGUAGCAGAUAUGAACAUUUUAUGUAAGGUUUGCAGUGAUAAAGCAUCUGGGUUUCACUAUGGCGUGCAUACAUGUGAAGGUUGUAAGGCCUGUAUCGAGUCGAGUUUGUUGAUGACUGCAGACAAAGCAAUUGCACUUUGCGAGAGUGGGAUGUAGGUCGCUGUCACCGCCCGAGAUGAACACAUUAUGUUAAUGAGCUGGUCUCGCUUUUAACGUCAAUCGAAAGUGCAAUCAUAUGGAACUCAAGCCCACCAAUAUGGCAGGGGAUUAUUAGAUCUAUUGUACAUACUAAAUAUUAGACGCAAUUAUGAACUAGUGCUCUAAAUAUGGCUACGCUAUUGUUCAGAACACUGUUCAUCAAUAUUUUAUUUAACAAUCAAAUAGACACAAAUUUUAAAACAAUUAUGUUUUUGUUGAUUCACAUAGUUUUCACAACAAUCCUCAAAUUGAUUACCGGCAAAUUUGAGUGUUAUACAAACAAUAUUGAAACAGUAUUAUUUAUGCAUAAUUGGUAUAGAAAGUAUUUUAUUUGAAAGCCAAUACUGUAUUUAAGUUUUAAGUUUUAUUUCACAGGAAGAUUGAAAAUGUACAUAUAUUAAUGUAGUUAUAGGAUUUUUUUUUAAAGAUAUGUUUUUUUAUCACAAAAUUCCACUCUUUACUAUCAUUGUCACUAAAUAGUAAGUAAGUAAUACAAAAUAUAUAAGUUUUUAUAUACGCUAUUUAAUGGAUUGAAUUGUUUAGAAUAGAUGUAUCAAAGUUUUUUGCAGCUGAUAUAUUAAGAGGUAUUGUCCAAUAAAUUUAAUGAUAACGAAAUGCAAUAAAGAUUUCUUUUGUAGUCAAUAGGUAAGUUAUUUUGUUGUAUUCUUAUGUAAGAUUCAUUCACGCAAUAGUUGCAGGGUGACAUAUCCUUAACCACUAGAUCCAUACCCACUCACUGGUGCUAACCUCAUCCUUUCGAAUAUUAUUAGUAUACCACAAAUAUUACAAUACAAUUAAAGUAUAAUCAUAUGUACUUAAAAAAAUCCUAUUUAUAUUUAUAAUGAGAGUUCUGAACCGUCCUAUUUAAGUCUUACUAUAUAAAAAUAAGAUGCAUGAAAUGUGGUUGCACUCUCAUUUAGACGAUUGUCAAUAUUAGAAAUAGAUUAAUAUAGUUUAGAGGAGUACUGUAUUAAAAUUGUUGAUGAUCAGUCGUGUCGGUUUGUUUCUAUGUGAAGUAUUCACAUCUUUAUUAUAUACUCUCAUGAAUCACGACAGUAGCAAGUGUGAAGUGAACUAUUUGGAAUAAAGUACAGUCAUUACACUUGAAGAAAAGUUUGUAAAAGUUUACAGCGCUUCAUAUUGUAAAGAAAGGUGCUAUUAGUAUUAGGUUAGAUUAUUAUAUGACUGCUAAUCUCUGUACAGAGUCCUGUAUGUUUAAUCUGUAAUAAAUAUUUAUUAAAUGUUUUUUUAAUGUUUAAGUUAUGAGGGCAAUAAUUUAGCUCUAUUUCCAUCUGACAAAAUAUUAAUAUGUUUCAAUUUGAUUUUGAUUAUACUGCAAUUAACAGUUAAUUGUCUCAUUAUAAAUAAAGAAUUUGUCUCCAAUAAACUAAGUAACAUGCAUUUUUACUUCUCUCACAAAGGUACAAUAUUAGUGGGGUUUUUUUCUCCCAGAUUCACAUAAAAUAUUAAAAAGAAAGUGAUUCUGAUUUAUUGUAGUUACAAAAACUCAAUUAAGAAAAGACUGUAGUCAAUGAUUUGUAACACACUUAAGUAAAAUAGGAAAAUGAUCCAGGUAUUUAAUUCCAGAGGUGGAUCCAGGAAUUUGAAAAAGUAAAUUUUAUACAAGUUAGUCUUAAAAGUGCUGUUGUCAUUGCUUAUAUUUUUCGAUAGACUAAUGUUGC
rnacentral:lncRNA from 1 species